AAAAAAAACCCAGUAAAUCAGCGCUAUAUCGGAGAAGAAAAUAUUAAUGCACAGUCUCUGUAAAACUAUAGGUAAGCUGGAUGAAAAACUAUGAACUGUGAUGUUGCAGCAACACAAAAAUAAGGAAUUUUUCAUUUGAGAUUAUUACUCAACAUAAUUUUGGGGGGGAGGAAUUUAGAAGCAAAAGUGAAAAUGUUGUACAGCCAGAUUUAUCUGUUUAUGUUUAAGUGGUAAUUUUAACUUUUUUUCAGAGGAAGAGAUUAGUUUUCUAUAUUCCAGGCACAUAAUUGUUUUACUUCCCAUUAUAGCAAUGCCUAAAAAUGCUUUACUUAACUCUGAAUACCCUGCAUCUUGGGCACAGUUUCCACAGUGCCAGUUCUGAAAGACUGCACAGCAGGAAACAAUGUUUUGCUUCUUAAAUAGUCAUCAGUGAAUCACAGGCACUGAGUGGGAUUUGGCAUACUACUCUCAUAGAGCACUGGCUCUGGCAAGUUGUCUUUUCUCCAAAGACAGACAGACACAGAACUACAGAAUCAGAGAAUCAGAGAAUGACUUGAAUUGGAAAUGACCUUAAACACAGUCCAGUUCCCAAUCUCUGCAGUAGGCAGGGGUUGGCCCCCACUAGAUCAGGCUGCCCAGAGUCCCAACAGACAUUGAAUACCUGCAGGAAUGGGACAUCCACCCCUUCUCUAGGCAGCUUGUUCUAGUGCCUCACCACCAUCCGUGUGAAAAAUUUCCUCCAAGUAUCUAGUCUAUAUUUCCCCUGGACAUAGAGCUGCUGGCCACAACCGUCUGUCUGUGACUAUCUCACCGGUUAUUUACCCACCAAAUGGUCCACCCUUCAAAUCUGUAUCUCUCCAAUUUAGAGAUAAAGGUGUGGUGUGGGAAAUAUAACAAGACAAUAACAUCACAUAUAACAUAUUAUACGCUAUACACCAGAUUAUGACUUAACAAGAUUAAAAAGAGGUGCUCAUAUGGAAACUAUUUCUGUCAUUAUUUUAGUCUUUGAAGAGCACUGUCUACUUCACCAAAAAAAAUUAUAUCAGUAAAAUUAAGAUUUUUUCAUAGUACUUUGGAUAUAGACAGAAGCUGCUUCUCCAGAGGAGAAAGAGGAAAAAAGUAUCUCCUUAUCUGCGCCUUAAAUUGGGUAUCUGGGGUAUCUGUAUACUGUACCUUUAAAUACCCAGUUAUAGCCAUUGGAUGCAGCUGAGCAGAAUCCACACAACGCUUGCCAUGUCCUUGCUGACAUGGGAAAUCAGAUAUAUGUCAGAGUAUCAAAGGCAGCUUCUCAAAGUAGUGCUUAGCUUGCAAUGUAUAGCAGCUUGGGGACUGCCCUAGCUUGCAGUAUUUAGCAAUAGUUAAGGGUCAGCGCAGACAUUAAUGAGAUUUCUCCCCAUGACAGAUUCAUACUCCACUAGGAAUCACAAGACCCUUCUGGUAGUCACUGUGAAAACCCUAGCCCCUGUAAGGACUUCGUUUUUGUGAGGUUUUUUUUUCAGUUCUUUUCUCAUAUUUAUAAAAAGGAAGUAAUUUAAGCUGAAUUUGUGUGGACGAACAUAAAGCAUAUGCCACACACUUCAAAAUGUGAUUAUGGAUUAUCGUUCCUUACUGAAUGAAAGUCAUCCUGUUACUAUAUUACUAUUCUAAGUAAAUGUUGCCUUGAUGUGUAGGGACUAUUGCACAUAGGCAGCACUUCUUGUAUGUUUUAUGGGCGUAACAAACACUCCCUGGUUUUACUUUUCAUAGGAACCAAUUACUUAUACACUGGCAUUCCUAGGCUGAGGCAGUACAGCUUUGUACUACAAUUCUGUGUCCUAUCCACUCCAUUUCAUAUGAAAGGAGAAGUUUUACUACUUACUGUUAAGACCCAUAAAAAUAUCCAAAAAUGUGUCUUGGUUUGCAUGUGUGUAUUUUUUUUUACCAGCUCUCAAUAGAUACCUAUGAACUACAGUAAAAAUAAAUCAGAAUGCUUCUCACAGCUUAGUAAGUGACAGUUAGCUUGUCAGCUGCCUGAUGUGUCUAUAUGUGUAUACAAAUUCAUGCAUGAGUUGCUUUUUACUGAAAGCCACUGAGCAUAUGAUAUGUGUGUGAUACGAUGAGUCUCUGUUCUUUCUACUUCAGCUACUGCUUUACAAGCUGUUAUCUUGAAAAAGCUGAAGUAAGAGUUUUUGGGUAAACUGACCACAACAUAUUUGAAGAGUUUUUUUUCCCACAGUUUUGAAGAUUACAGUGAACUGAUACUUUUAGACCAAGACAGUAAAGUUUCUAGAUACUAGAUAAGAAUUAGUCUAUAGGGAUAGACUCUAAGGCUUACUCUCAAGUAGUGGACACCUUGCAUAGGACAUUUCCAUUGCCUUUCCUGAUAUCACAGAAUCAUAGAAUGGCUAAGGUUGAAAGGGAUCUUAAAGAUAAUCCAGUUCCAACUCUCCUACCAUGGGCAGGGCUGCUAGUCACUAGAUCAGGCUGCCCAGGAUCCCAUUCAGCCUGGCCUUGAAUGUCUCCAAAGAUGGGGCAUUUAGAACCUCUCUGGGCAACUUGUUUCAGAGACUCAUGCCUCCCUGAGCAAAAAAAAAUUCUUCCUAGCAUCUAAUAUAAAUCUCCCUCUUUUAAUUUAAAGCCAUUUCUGCUUGUCCUAAUCACAGUUAGACCACGUAUAAAGUGAGUCCCCUCACACUUGUAAGUUCCCUUCAAAUACUGGAAGGACACACCGAGACCUCUCUGGAGUCUUCUCUAAGCUAAACAAAUCCAGCUCCCUCACCCUUUCUUCACAGGAGAGGUGCUCCAGCCCUCUGAUCAUCUUCAUGGCCCUCCUCUGGACUCUGCAUCAUAAGUGAACAAAACAUGUUACUUAAGAAAGAACUGUCUUUCUUAAAUAGAGUAGUUAUCAUUUCUUACAGAAUUUCUUCUUUCAAGUGACAGAAACAUGCAAAUUGCCACCAAAACCAAUACCCUCCUACUUCACAAAAUGGCAACAGGAAAAGUUUUGCAAGCCAUCCCUGUACUGCAAAGAAUCACAGCUACUGGAACAGAUCUAAUCUGAAGCUUAGCUUUUCUUUGUGUAGCGGAGGGAUUGAACUACAUGACCUCCAAAAGUGCCUUCUAACCUAAAAUCACAUUUCCUAGGAGAAUAGCCCCAGGUCAAGGACUGCCAUCUGGUUUGACAGAACAUCCUAGUUUUCCUCAGCAUGUUGUCAAGUGUGCCCUGAAACAGUGUUAAAGCCAGUAUGCCGUAGUACUUACCCAAUCUGAAUGUGUAGCCAUAGGAAAAAGUAGCUGACACAGGUUAAGUGCAUUGUGUAAACACUGACAAAAGCUGACUUGAAAGACACAUUAAUCAAGUUCAGAUGUAUUUGCUUUUGUGUUUUAUGUUUACUACGUUUUUUCUGCAGCUGAAGUUUGUUUACUCACAGCUCACUUUCUUUAACGGGCUUUUCCAAAUGAGAAGUGAAAUGUCUUUCAUGCAAAGUCUGUGUCACAAACCACACUACUUGAGGAAAUAAAACAACCCGUAUGAAGUAGAAAUUUAAUAAAUUGAAGAGUGGGUUUAAGUGCAUUCCUUACACACGUGUUUUUCAAGAAGAAAGACAAGAUGACCAUAUGAGUCUCAGCUGGUGAAGACAGCUUUCUGUGAUGAUGUGGGGAAUCAAUCUAGUCAUAAAUUUAGAAUUCUAAUUGCAACUCAAGCAUUGCUAGCAAAAAGAUCCCUGUGCUGCUGAAUAACUGCAUUUGUGUAUGAAAUGCAGUUUCUUGAGGUGAGAGGAUGAAGACAUUUUUCCUAGACCUAAAACAGACAAUUGCCAGUAUUAGCAAAGCUUGGUAACAACUAUACCAACAUGCAAAGCUGAAAGAAAAGAGAAAUAAUUUUUUCCCUUUCAUCUUCAUGGACUAGUAAGGUAAAACCUGGUAAAAUAGUCAUAUUUCAGUAAAGAGAAACACACUUCAAAAUGUCAGCAAUCAGUGAGAAAGUGGAAACUUUAGGUGGAAGAGGGAAAACAAGGUCAGCAAUUUUUGUUUCAAGAUGGACACAAUUUCUGUGAGAACUAUAGAAGUUUUAUGAUGAACUCUGAGCUCAAAGAAUGUCCUUUUUCAUAUCAUAAGCCAUGAACCAUUGAGAAUCGUAUCCGUACUUCCCCAAAAUAUUGCUAUCCUAGCCCAUGGAGCUGUUUCCAAUUGAUGAGAAAAAUAAGGCAGUAAGAUACCUGGAAGUUUAUUAGAGGAAAAACAACAUAUUUAGACCCCCAUUGAAUUUCUAUAUGUUUACAGUACACAUACCUCAUGUCCCUGAAGACUCGUGAAAUGUAAACCACAAAGCAUAGAGCUUUGCUGAGAUACAGGGAAAAAUGCCAGAGAUAUUUAAUUGACUUCCUGAAGGCUCCUAUUUCUAGGCUUUGAAAAGCAAAUCACCGCUUUUAAAGAGAAGCAUUAGGCAUAGAGCCAGUUUCCAGACUAGCUAAAAUGCUCAAAGCCAGGAGCAGGAUUUGAUUCAGUGAAUGUCUGAAUGUCUUGCAUGCAAUUCAGAGAUUUAAUAAAGUUUGGCUUUUUCAGUGUUAAGUGUUGGGCCACAACUACAAGCUCUGAAAAGAGCAGAUACAAAAGCAUUUGAAACAAAUCAUGCUAUACAGUCUGUGGUAACAUUAUGUAGAAGGUAAAAAUGACAAAAACUGUUUUAAAUUGUUAAUUAAGAAAAAGAAAGACACAGGGAGCUAAAAUAAACAAUAAAUUAGGUAAUCUGGCUUGUGUUUUCAGUUUACUUUUUGAAUUUCUCCAUUUCAGGAGACUUGGUUGUUGUUUUGUUGUUGUUGCUGUUGUUUGUUUGUUUGCUUUGUAUUAUUGUUUUACCAGGGUUCAGCAUCUUCCAAAAAUUUGUUUACAUUCAUGAAAAGAGGUCUGUAGAGAUCUGUAAAACUCUGAGCAGAAAUACAGUAGACUUGAUCCCUGUACCCACUUGCAUGGACUUUUCUCCCUGAAAAUAUUAAAGUCAUCAAGAAACAAGAGAUGUCAAGAGGUACACGCUAGGCAGAUUGUUUAUAUAUUUUAAGCACGUACUCACUUCUGUUUUUUUCAAAGCAAACUUUGCCAAAUCUCUCCGACAAGAUGCAAUCUUACGGCAGCUUCUGACAGUUACACGGCAUGACUUUGCUGCUUUGCAACUUCCCACAACACUGACAACCAGAACAUCAGCUGGGUUGAUAACGUAUUAGUGGAUGGAAGACACUUUCCUUGCUCUAAUUCUGCCCCUGCUGAACCACCAUUGCCAGAAAAGGUCUUUUAACUUGAAGGUUAUACAGGUAUCACUCUAUGGAGUCGAGUGAUUCUCAGCAGAACAAAUCAUCAGCUUAAGUGCUACAGAAAGACCUAAAAGCUAACGCAACAAUGGAGAAUUGUUAAGUAAGACCCUAUAACAAGAUCUCAUCAUUUACAGGAUAAAACAUGGCAACAUGCAAGAACAAAAAUCAUAGAAUCACAGAACUGCUUGAGUUGGAAGGGACUUUAAAGAUCAUCUGGUUUCAAACCCUCUGCCGUGGGAAAAGGUUGCCACCCACUGUAUCCUGCUUACCAGAGCCCCAUCCGACCUGGCCUUCAGCACCUCUAAGACUAUAACUGACAGUAUCCACACCUUUUAUAUGUAUGUAUAUCAUCAGCUAAUCCUGCUUCUACAGUGAUGAAAAGCAGUGUCAGUUUUAUUUGCAGCUGUAUUCUAGCAAUGUUAGAACAGCUCUCCCUCACAAACAACUUAGCUGAGUCACAUACAAGGCCCUUAUACUUAUAGAAAAGCUGAUUAUUUUUUUCUACGUAGUCUCUGACCACAAAGAACUAAAACUGAAUUGAUACUCAUUUAUUUCAGACCUAUCCAGUUCAGUAUAGACAGAAAGAAUCUCCCACGAGGAAGAGAGAUGGGAUCUGGAAUAACUGUUAACCGAAGGGCAGUGAGGUUGUUAAGAUACAAGCUGAUAAUAAACCAAGCUCUUGAAAAAAGACUGUAAUUUGUUUGCUUAGUGUUUUAUGGCUGUUCACUUAAAAUGCUGUGUAUGCUUCUGGGCAGCCUUGUCAAGAAAAUUCCGAAGUUCAGAUGAUGCUGUACUAGCAAAAUUUUUAGAAAGAAUUAGCUCAACCAGAAUAAAUACCUAAUCAGAACAGAGUGUGGUUGCUACAGCUCCCUUUACUUACCAGAUAAAAGCCUGUAGAGGGCACUGCCAGUGCCAUGUGCACAUCAGUAUUCUGUCAGAGAUAAUUUAGUGUACUUCUGAGUCUACACAAGUGCCUAC
ensembl:lncRNA